AUUGAACGCUGGCGGCAGGCCUAACACAUGCAAGUCGAACGGUAACAGGAAGAAGCUUGCUUCUUUGCUGACGAGUGGCGGACGGGUGAGUAAUGUCUGGGAAACUGCCUGAUGGAGGGGGAUAACUACUGGAAACGGUAGCUAAUACCGCAUAAUGUCGCAAGACCAAAGAGGGGGACCUUCGGGCCUCUUGCCAUCGGAUGUGCCCAGAUGGGAUUAGCCAGUAGGUGGGGUAACGGCUCACCUAGGCGACGAUCCCUAGCUGGUCUGAGAGGAUGACCAGCCACACUGGAACUGAGACACGGUCCAGACUCCUACGUGAGGCAGCAGUGGGGAAUAUUGCACAAUGGGCGCAAGCCUGAUGCAGCUAUGCCGCGUGUAUGAAGAAGGCCUUCGGGUUGUAAAGUACUUUCAGCGGGGAGGAAGGGAGUAAAGUUAAUACCUUUGCUCAUUGACGUUACCCGCAGAAGAAGCACCGGCUAACUCCGUG
rnacentral:rRNA from 1 species